CCAGCCCCAGCACUCCCAGGUGUCCACUCAGUGAGCGCACUCAACACCGACGCUCACCAUGGAGACUGGGCUGCGCUGGCUUCUCCUGGUCGCUGUGCUCAAAGGUGUCCAGUGUCAGGAGCAGCUGGUGGAGUCCCGGGGAGGCCUGGUCCAGCCUGGGGGAUCCCUGAAACACUCCUGCAAAGCCUCUGAGUUCGACCUCAGUAGCUAUGCAAUGUGCUGGGUCCGCCAGGCUCCAGGGAAGGGGCUGGAGUGGAAUGGAGAAAUUAAUCCUAAUGGUGGUAGCACAUGGUAUGCGAGCAGGGUAAAUGGCCGAUUCACCGUCUCCAGAAACAACGUCAAGAGCACGCUGGAUCUGCAAAUGAGCAGUCUGACAGCCGCGGACACGUCCCUCUAUUACUGUGCAAGAGACACAGAUCUGCAAACUCAGGGCCUUCAACUUCUGCCCCUGGAAACCUACAUGAUGCUCAGCGCUGACUGGAUGAAAUCUGUUGUGAAGGAGCCCAAAGGGGCUCAGGCCUUAAUGUGA